AUGGGGGCAGCCUAACACAUGCAAGUCGAGCGGUAACAGGAAGAAGCUUGCUUCUUUGCUGACGAGCGGCGGACGGGUGAGUAAUACUUGGGAACUUGCCUUUAGGAGGGGGAUAACCGCUGGAAACGGUGGCUAAUACCGCAUAAUGUCUACGGACCAAAGCAGGGGCUCUUCGGACCUUGCACCUAAAGAUAGGCCCAAGCGAGAUUAGCUAGUUGGUGGGGUAAAGGCCCACCAAGGCGACGAUCUCUAGCUGUUCUGAGAGGAUGAUCAGCCACACUGGGACUGAGACACGGCCCAGACUCCUACGGGAGGCAGCAGUGGGGAAUAUUGCACAAUGGGGGAAACCCUGAUGCAGCCAUGCCGCGUGUGUGAAGAAGGCCUUCGGGUUGUAAAGCACUUUCAGUGGUGAGGAAGGCCGUAAGAUUAAUACUCUUGCGGAUUGACGUUAACCACAGAAGAAGCACCGGCUAACUCCGUGCCAGCAGCCGCGGUAAU
rnacentral:rRNA from 1 species